rnacentral:rRNA from 1 species
GAUGAACGCUGGCGGCGUGCUUAACACAUGCAAGUCGAACGGUGAAGCAGGAGCUUGCUCCUGUGGAUCAGUGGCGAACGGGUGAGUAACACGUGAGCAAUCUGCCCUGGACUCUGGGAUAAGCGUUGGAAACGACGUCUAAUACCGGAUACGAGGCGUGGGGGCAUCCCCAACGCCUGGAAAGAACUUCGGUCCAGGAUGAGCUCGCGGCCUAUCAGCUAGUUGGUGAGGUAACGGCUCACCAAGGCGACGACGGGUAGCCGGCCUGAGAGGGUGACCGGCCACACUGGGACUGAGACACGGCCCAGACUCCUACGGGAGGCAGCAGUGGGGGAUAUUGGACAAUGGGCGCAAGCCUGAUCCAGCCAUGCCGCGUGGGUGAUGAAGGCCUUAGGGUUGUAAAGCCCUUUCGGCGGGGAAGAUAAUGACGGUACCCGCAGAAGAAGCCCCGGCUAACUUCGUGCCAGCCGCCGCGGUAACAC